ACGACAAUUAUCUCAUGGCUUACUGGCUGUAAAAUACAUCUGCACUAUUGUUUCUGCUCCAACAAAGUUCAAAUGACGCAACCCCAGUUAGAAAACCACCAAAUCCAACAUCCCUCUUUGGCAGAAUGACUAUGGUUUUCGGUCAUCUCCUUCGUCUGCCAACCUUUCCACCCCAUCGGAGGUUGUACGCAAAGUAGAGGCUUAGUAUCCUGCUUUGCUUUUCAAGCAACAACUCACAACCUAUGUGGAGAAAAUAUAUGGUAUCUUGCGGGACAACUUGAAGAAAGAGUUGGCAUCAUUUAUUUCGUUAUGUAUCCAGGCACCAAGGACAUCUAAGGGAGUCUUAAGAUCUGGCCGAUCUUUUAGUAAUGAUUCUCCCAUGGGUCAUUGGCGGAGUAUUAUUGAAUCCCUCAACACUAUUCUCUAUACUAUGAAAGAGAACUUUGUGCCUCCUGUCCUUGUCCAAAAGAUCUUCUCUCAAACAUUUUCAUAUAUUAAUGUUCAACUCUUCUACAGUCUUCUUCUGCGGUGAUUGUUGCCCAUUCAGCAAUGGAGAAUAUGUGAAGGCUGGUUUAGCAUAAUUGGAGCUGUGGUGUUGCCAAGCAAAGGAGGAGUAUGUUGGGACAUCUUGGGGAUGAGCUCAAGCACAUUAGACAAGCAGCUGGAUUCUUGGUAAGUGUUUCUUCGGAAAGUCUAACCAAAUUGCCUUGGGUUUGCAGUAUGUUGGGACAUCUUGGGAUGAGCUCAAGCACAUUAGACAGGCAGUUGGAUUCUUGGUAAGUGUUUCUUGUUUCAUAAUAUGGCACCAUUUAUCUUACUGAUGUUGUUAGAAAAUUUUGAUAAUCAAUGUGGUUUACCAUGCGUCAUGUUUUGCUUCCACUUACUGUAAUUAAUUAAAAUCCGACAGUUUCACCAUUUGAGUUUUUUUGACAAAGUAAUUCCUGUCUAAAAUACACAUGUGGCUUUGCACUGUACUUCUUUUAAAUCGUUUUAACCGUCAAAAUGAAUCUUUUAUUGCCCGAAAGUUCAUGCUCAAACAAAUUUCUAUAAGAUUUGUUCAAUCAUAUUUUAAACUUAGGUAUCCAACUUACUUGCAAAAUGCGUAGUGGUGAACAGUGGGGUUAUCCAGGACCCUGGAUCAGGGGUGCAAACUUUUUUAACUUCAAUAUUUUGGUGUAAAUUGGGUAUUCUUUACUAUAAUUGCAGAGACUAAUCCCUUGAGCCAGGUAGAACCACAAUAGGUAGCAAAACUAUCCCUCAAGAGUGUUAACAUUGAGCCAUUCCUAGGGUUGAAUUAGAAAUCCAUGACCUCUGGUUAAGAUGGAAGAGACCCUUAUCAUCUCAUCCAAGCGCUUUUACUUACUCCCAAAUAAAAUUUAUUUUUAAAAUAAAAAUUUUAAAGAUUUAUUUUCAAAUCUUUUUUCAUUAAAGAAAAAUAGAAUCUUUAUUUUUUAAAAACAAAACCAUUUUAUGUUAAUAUUUUUGAAUUAAAAAAAAAAAAGGUACCGUAAAAAAAAUAGAAAAAGAAGUUUCAGUUUUCAUCUUCUACCAAAACUAUUUGCCCUAGAACUAGAGAUAACGAAGUAGAAGAGGACUCCGGCGAUUGAAGAAGACGACGAUGAAUACGAUCACGACGGUGGAAGCAAACAGUUUUCGGCGAAGCCUGAACCAUGAAGAAGAAGUAAAGUAAAGUUAUGCAGAAAAAAGUAAAGUUUUGUUUUUAAAAAAUAAAGAUUCUAUUUUUUUUUAAUUAAAAAAGAUUUGAAAAUAAAUUUUUAAAA